GACUGACCCUGCAUAAGAAGCCCCGGCUAACUACCUGCCUGCCGCCGCGGUAAUACGUAGGGGGCAAGCGUUGUCUGGAAUCAUUGGGCGUAAAUAGCUCGUACGCGGUUCGUUAAUUCCGGUGUAAAAGCUCCGAGCUCACUUCGCACAGGCCCCCUGAUCCUGCUGGGACUACAAUCCUGUGGGGGAGUGUGGAACUCCUGGUGUAGCGGUGAAAUGCUGCAAUAUCAGGAAGAACACCAGCGGCGAAGGCGGCACUCUGGGCUGGAAUUGACGCUGAUGAGCGAAAGUGUGGGUAGCAAACAGGAUUAGAUACCCUGGUGUCCACACCGUAAACGUUGGGCACUAGGUGUGGGGAGGAUCAACCCUUUCCGUGCCGUAGCUAACGCAUUAAGUGCCCCGCCUGGGGAGUACGGCCGCAAGGCUAAAACUC
rnacentral:rRNA from 1 species